UACCACCGUGUUUAAUCAAUGACUUAUGGUU
rnacentral:piRNA from 1 species